ensembl:snRNA U6 U6 spliceosomal RNA
UGGGUGGAUUACAGCAAAUAUGCUAAAAUCGGAACGAUACAGAGAAGAUUAGCAUGGCCCCUGCGCGAGGAUGACAUGCAAAUUCAUGAAGUAUUCCAAUUUUUU